CGCCGCCGCCGCCGCGCAGGUAUGCGAGUUGCCCGGUCUCCGUGUCGGCCGCUUCGUGGGAAUGGGGCGGUAUGCGAGGCGGUGACUCGCGAGCCGGGAAAAGAGCUCCGGGGCUCAGCCGCGCCUCGGGAUGGCGGGUUGGAGGGUCCGUGUCCUGCUGCUGCCCCGAGGAAGGUGCGGAGCUGAAGGAGCCGCUGCUGCUGCUGCCGCCGCCUUUUUCCAAAGCAAUGCAUGAGAAAUCAGGGCUCAUGCACAACCUGGACAAGCUGGAAUCCUGGCACAAGGAGAAGAACUUGGACUCUCCAAAUGGCAGCUUGAAUCUGGACAAUGCUGUAAAGAAUGAAGAACUCAAGAAAUGUCCCCAAGAAGUCACGGCUCCCAAUAAAUAUAAUUCUCAGUAUCACAAGUUAUUCAAGGACAUCCCCACUGAAGAGAGUGUGGUUAAAGUCUGCUCCUGUGCUCUGCAGCGAGACAUCCUUAUCCAAGGCCGCCUCUACAUUUCUCCAAACUGGCUCUGCUUCUACGCAAACCUUUUUGGGAAAGAUAUCAAGGUUGUUAUUCCUGUGGUCUCCGUCCAACUAAUAAAAAAGCACAAAACAGCCCGGUUGUUGCCAAAUGGACUCGCGAUCACCACAAACGCCAGCCGAAAAUAUAUCUUCGUGUCCCUCAUUUCCAGAGAUAGCGUCUAUGACGUCCUGCGGCGUGUCUGCACCCACUUACAGGUCUCCAGCAAAAAAAGUCUGAGUUUGAAAGAAUUCACCGAAGAGCCAGACGCAGUAGCCUUGGAGGUCAUCGUCCCAGAGGUGAAGUGGAGAAGGAGGUCCACGGCGUCCCUCUCGCUCGCCCUCCCGGAUGCUGGCUUCCAAUGCAUCCACCGAACUUCCCUCAGCAACCUCAGCGCUAAGGAGAGCUCCUGCAACUCCGAGGAGCCCCUGGUGUCAGAAAGCACAGUAAACUCCGAGGAGGAAGAGGAUGAGGAAGAAGAGGAAGAGGAGGAGGAGUUAGUAGUGGACGAAAGCUACAAAGCAGAACUGAGACCAGCUGAUUAUCAGCUGCUGAAAAUCUUCAUAGUGUUAAUCUGCCUUUUGGUGUUGUCCUCAUCGUACCUGGCCUUCCGAAUCUUCCGGCUGGAGCAGCAACUCUCCUCCUUGAACCAGGAUUACCUUUCCCGAGUAUCUCAAAGAUGAUUGCAGCACAAGGAAGAUGGGAGAAGAUCAAACGUCACCUUAAACUCAGGUCCAAGAAGGUAAUGUGGCUGCUAUGAAGAUGGGGACAAGUGGGACGCUGGUUCUCUUUCCAUUCUUGUUGGACCAAAGCAGUGAGGGAUACUUCAGGUGCUUCCUCACCUCCAAGCACCCCGUUGGAGGCUUUACACGUUGCAUUGACUCUGCUAGAACAUCUUAGGUCCUAGCUAGACUGGUCCAAGAGUGGCAGUUCCAGCCACAAUUUCAGUGCUUGUCCUCCUCAGCGAUGACAAAGUUAUGGAACUUACUCUCAACAGUGCCAGCAACAUUGGAGAUUGCACUAGAGGACUUAUCCAAGGUUCUUCCUUGCACUUUGGAACAGCAGCACUUAGAAGGACUCGGCUGCUCUUACCUGUGACCUUCAUGGCCCUCGGGACACGCUCUCCAGGGGGCUAUUUGAAAUGCCAGAUAGACAUGGCUGGAUUCUCCUCCGGAGAGGGUUCUUCCCGGGGGUGCCCGUUGCCAGCACUUGUGGCCUCUUUUCCCGUGGAAGGCGGGUGGCUGGAUAGUUAUCACUCCUGCAAGGAAAACACAACCAGUCAACGAAGAUGACUAGUAAAUAAUGUUUGACUAAGGAUGAGUAGGAGUUUUCAGCGGUCCCCUCUCUGCCCUUUCACGCCCCAGUAUUCCGAGUUCUCCUUAGGACCAUUUUUCUUGCACUAACAGACCCCCCCCCCCCAAACAAUGCUGCUGUAGUGAUUUGCACCCCUGCAAAAUUUCCAGAGAGCCAAAGUGACUUGGAGGAGAUGGGUGCCUCUCGGCUGCCAGGCAAGCCCAACGUUCUUAUGGACUGGAGCCAACUGAACAUGCCGGGGCUGUUGGGUAGACAGCUACAUCAGGGUCUUUUCGGGAAAACGUAAAAGAAGCGUCUCGGAGAUUGAGCGGCAGCCCAAAAUGCCCUUCCUGUUGGUCUGCCUCCUUAAACUAAAAACUGUAGCUUGGCUUUGAUGGGCUGAAAAAAGCGGGGGAGAGGGGAGCCCACCCCACGCAGUAGACCAGUUUGUGAAAUCAACUCUGCAGGAGGAUUACAGUUGCUUUGAGAUUGGCUAUAUGAAUUAUAUCCCCUCCCCCUUUUUAUAGUUCAAUACACUAGGGAGGUGUCCAUCUGAGUCACUUCCAGAUGUUGGUUGGCUGGUUGAGUGCUGGUUGGUUGGGUGGUUGGUUGAGUGGUUGGUUGGUUGGUUGGUU